rnacentral:rRNA from 1 species
GAUGAACGCUAGCGGGAGGCUUAAUACAUGCAAGUCGAACGGUAAGGUCAGAGCUUGCUCUGAUACACGAGUGGCGCACGGGUGAGUAACGCGUACACUACCUACCUCAAAGAGAGGGAUAGCCCUGGGAAACUGGGAUUAAUACCUCAUAGUAUUGCUGUUUAUUAAUGGUAAUUAAAGGCUUAGGUUGCUUUGAGAUGGGUGUGCGUACUAUUAGAUAGUUGGUGAGGUAACGGCUCACCAAGUCGACGAUAGUUAGGGGGCGUGAGAGCGUGAUCCCCCACACGGGUACUGAGACACGGACCCGACUCCUACGGGAGGCAGCAGUAAGGAAUAUUGGACAAUGGGGGCAACCCUGAUCCAGCCAUCCCGCGUGCAGGAAGACGGCCCUAUGGGUUGUAAACUGCUUUUGUAUGGGAAGAAAUGAUCUUAUUUAUAAGAUUUUGACGGUACCAUAAGAAUAAGCACCGGCUAACUCCG